AAAUUGAAGAGUUUGAUCAUGGCUCAGAUUGAACGCUGGCGGCAGGCCUAACACAUGCAAGUCGAACGGUAACAGGAAGCAGCUUGCUGCUUUGCUGACGAGUGGCGGACGGGUGAGUAAUGUCUGGGAAACUGCCUGAUGGAGGGGGAUAACUACUGGAAACGGUAGCUAAUACCGCAUAACGUCGCAAGACCAAAGAGGGGGACCUUCGGGCCUCUUGCCAUCGGAUGUGCCCAGAUGGGAUUAGCUAGUAGGUGGGGUAAAGGCUCACCUAGGCGACGAUCCCUAGCUGGUCUGAGAGGAUGACCAGCCACACUGGAACUGAGACACGGUCCAGACUCCUACGGGAGGCAGCAGUGGGGAAUAUUGCACAA
rnacentral:rRNA from 1 species